UCUGAAACUCACUAUGUAGCUGAAGCUUAAAUUCCUGGCAAUCUUCCCAUCUCAGCCUCCUGAGUACUGGGAUUACAUAUGUAUGCUACUAUACUCAACUUAUAAUGUCAUCAUUUUACAUACAGUAUGUACUGAAGAAAUGUCUUGCAUUUGAGUCUGCUUUGAAAGUUUUCUAUGAAGUCUUCCUUAGCUAAUUCUUUCCAUGACUAAUAUUUUCACAAUAUGUUUCAUGAGAAUAGAAAUCAUUUUGAGUUUUUUUCGGCUUUUGGCUCGGAGGAGGCUUAGGUGCAACUUUCUUCGGUCGUCCCGAAUCUGGGUUCAUCCGACACCAGCCGCCUCCAUCAUGCCACCCAAGUUCGACCCCAACGAGAUCAAAGUCAUCUAUCUGAGGUGCACUGGAGGCGAAGUCGGCGCCACAUUCACCUUGGCCCCCAAGAUUGGGCCCCUGGGUCUGUCUCAAAAAAGUUGGUGAUGACAUUGCCAAGGCAACCGGGGAUCGCAAAGGUCUGAGGAUUACAGUGAAGCUGACUAUUCAGAACAGACAGGCCCAGAUUGAAGUUGUACCCUCUGCCUCUGCCCUGAUCAUCAAAGCCUUCAAGGAGCCACCAAGAGACAGAAAGAAGCAGAAAAACAUUACGCACAGUGGAAAUAUCAGUUUUGAUGAGAUUGUCACCAUUGCCCGACAGAUGGGGCACUGGUCCUUAGCCAGAGAACUUUCUGGAACUAUUAAAGAGAUCCUGGGUACUACACAAUCUGUGGGCUACAAUGUAGAUGGCCAUCACCCUCAUGACGUCAUAGAUGACAUCAACAGUGGUGCAGUGGAAUGCCCAGCUAGUUAAGCAAGAGAAACUAUGUCAAUAAAAGAUGAUCUGACGACCAAAAAAAAAAAA